CCUACGGGCGGCAGCAGUGGGGAAUAUUGCACAAUGGGGGAAACCCUGACGCAGCGACGCCGCGUGAACGAAGAAGGUCUUCGGAUUGUAAAGUUCUUUAAUCAGGGAAGAAUAUUAUGACGGUACCUUAAGAAUAAGCUGCCGCUAACUUGUUGGCAGCCGCCGCGGUACUACGUAGGGAGCAAGCGUUGUUCCGAAUGGCUUGGCGUAAAGGGUGGGUAGGCGGUUAUACAAGUUAGAAGGGAAAUAUCCAGGGCUUAAGUCGGGUGCUGCUUCGAAAACUGUAAGACUUGAGUGCAGUAGAGGUAAGCGGAAUUCCUAGUGUAGCGGUGAAAUGCGUAGAUAUUAGGAGGAACACCAGAGGCGAAGGCGGCUAACUGGACUGCAACUGACGCUGAGGCACGAAAGUGUGGGGAGCAAACAGGAUUAGAUACCCUUGUAGUC
rnacentral:rRNA from 1 species